rnacentral:rRNA from 1 species
CCCUUAGAUGUUCUGGGCCGCACACGCGCUACACUGAAGGAGGCAGCGUGUACUCCUGGAUCGAAAGAUUUGGGUAACCCGCGAAUCUCCUUCGUGCUAGGGAUUGAGGUUUGCAAUUAUCCUUCAUGAACGGGGAAUUCCCAGUAAGUGCAAGUCAUAAGCUUGCGCUGACUACGUCCCUGCCCUUUGUACACACCGCCCGUCGCUACUACCGAUUGAAUGAUUUAGUGAGGACUUCGGACUGGGACCGAUGCGGCUUUCGGGCUGCGUCGGUAUUCUGGAAAGAUGUCCAAACUGUAUCAUUUAGAGGAAGUAAAANUCGUANCA